AGCAGCCGCGGUAAUUCCAGCUCCAAUAGCGUAUAUUAAAGUUGUUGCAGUUAAAAAGCUCGUAGUUGAAUUUCGGGAUCAAUACGUCGGUCGUGCUUCGGUACGUACUGGCGUAAUUGAUUUCUCCCUUCUGACGAACCAUGAUGUCAUUAACUUGGUGUCAUGGGAAAUCAGGACUGUUACUUUGAAAAAAUUAGAGUGUUUAAAGCAGGCUCACGCUUGAAUACAUUAGCAUGGAAUAAUGAAAUAGGACGUUCGAUCCUAUUUUGUUGGUUUUUAGGAUCAACGUAAUGAUUAAUAGGGAUAGUUGGGGGCAUUAGUAUUCAAUUGUCAGAGGUGAAAUUCUUGGAUUUAUUAAAGACUAACUACUGCGAAAGCAUUUGCCAAGGAUGUUUUCAUUAAUCAAGAACGAAAGUUAGGGGAUCGAAGACGAUCAGAUACCGUCGUAGCCUUAACCAUAAACUAUGCCGACUAGGGAUCGGAUGAUGUUAAUUUUUUAAUGUACUCAUUCGGCGCCUUA
rnacentral:rRNA from 1 species